CCAAAACAUUCGCUUCUGGUGGUUUGAUUCCGUGUAGUCGUGAAGUGUUUUGAUAAAAAAUGCCGGCGUGCGUCGCUUACAGGUGUACCACAUCGUUCUGAUUGUAGUGUAAAGUUCAAACAAAUCACAUUUCAUUCUCCAACGCGAAGAGCUCUCUGGGUGAACACUUUGAGAAGGAAAGAUUGGAAACCAACCAAGUCCAAUAAAAUAUGUUUGCAGCAUUUCCGGGAGGAAGAUACUGUCGAACAUCAGUUUCGUCAGUCCGCAUUGGGGAAGAUGCUGUGCCAUCAAUUUUUCCCGCUUAUCCUGCUCACUUGCAAAAGAAAGAGAGGAACGGACCACAACCAGCAAAAAGGCAGAUGGCUACAAAAAGUACUACAGAUAUAGCCACUAAGAGUGCAACUGAAUCUGAAGUGUCUUUACUUGCUGCUGAGACCACACAGUGUUCGAGUGGUAGACAUGAUGAAGCAUCAGCUGUGGUAAAAAAACUCAAGAGGGAUGUGAGUUUUUUGUCAUCAAAAAAUGAAGAAUACAAGAAAAAAAUAAGUUAUUCAGCAGUCAAAAUGACAUCUAAAAAAGAAAGUAACAUCUUUGAACAGUGUUAUUAAUGAACUUAGGAAAAAUAAUCUUAUUGUUGAAAGUGGCCUUACUGUCCUGGAAAGUAUUCCUGAAAUGCAGAAGGAGUUAUUGCAAUGGCAAACUGCAAAAGCUAACUGUCACAGUGUGCCUAGAACAUACAGACCCGAACUACGUUCAUUUGCGUUAAUCUUAUACUUUUACUCUCCAAGAGCACAUAAGUAUGUCAGAAAUAGUUUUAAUACAUGUUUGCCAAAUCCUUGAACAUU